rnacentral:rRNA from 1 species
UUGGAGGGCAAGUCUGGUGCCAGCAGCCGCGGUAAUUCCAGCUCCAAUAGCGUAUAUUAAAGUUGUUGCAGUUAAAAAGCUCGUAGUUGAAUUUCGGGAUUAGUACGCUGGUCGUGCCUUCGGUACGUACUGGUGUUACUGAUUCCUACCUUCUGACGAACCAUCAUGUCAUUAGUUUGGUGUGGUGGGGAAUCAGGACUGUUACUUUGAAAAAAUUAGAGUGUUUAAAGCAGGCUCGCGCUUGAAUACAUUAGCAUGGAAUAAUGAAAUAGGACGUUGAUCCUAUUUUGUUGGUUUCUAGGAUUGACGUAAUGAUUAAUAGGGAUAGUUGGGGGCAUUAGUAUUCAAUUGUCAGAGGUGAAAUUCUUGGAUUUAUUGAAGACUAACUACUGCGAAAGCAUUUGCCAAGGAUGUUUUCAUUAAUCAAGAACGAAAGUUAGGGGAUCGAAGACGAUCAGAUACCGUCGUAGUCUUAACCAUAAACUAUGCCGACUAGGGAUCGGAUGAUGUUAUUUUUAAUGACUCAUUCGGCGCCUUACGGGAAAC